ensembl:antisense Gm29508 predicted gene 29508
UCAUUUCCCGGUAAAUUUCUACCCUUCAGCCCCACUUUUCUCCAGUCUCCAUACCCACUCCUCCCCUUGACCUCAGUAACCUGGUUUCUUGAGGUGUGUGUGUGUGUGUGUGUGUGUGUGUGUGUGUGUGUGUGUGUGCACAAAAAGUAUUCAGGAUCAAGGAGGGCUGGGCACAGUGAGACAGGCACCCAACCUUCCCCAGAUACUUCAGGUCUCCAGCUGCCAUGCUCCAGUGCAGACAGACAAUCGGAUGGGGCUUGAGGUAGAAAGGAAUAGGACAGUUCAGUGACGAAGCCCCAGCUCAGCUCACAUUAGACUCUCCAGAGCCCUUCGUGUGCUCUGUCCUACGUCGGCUUGGCACGGGGAAGGCCUCUUGUCUCUGAAAGUAACUGCUUUGUCCAUUCCAACGAAGACCUGCAUCUUGGUGACGGGAAAUGACUGGUUCUGUUUUCUUGCAGUCCAACUUUAGCAAGGAAAGCAGGGGGCGGAUUCCAGGCUGCACCCCAGUAGGAGUCUCUGCCGAGCUCUGCCAAAGGCAAGUGAGCUGAGCAGAGUGACUAAGUCAACCGGAGAGCAGGGCACCAGCCAACCUUCCCCUCCUCGGAGCCCCCACUGCCAGUCCCGAGACCUGUACCUCGGAUCUCAGCAAUGAAAAAUCCUACUUGACUUAAAAGUAUAAAUAAAUGUAUGCUAAAUGU